rnacentral:rRNA from 1 species
UACUAGAGUAGCACUCGCAUAUCAAUAAGCGGAGGAAAAGAAACUAACAAGGAUUCCCCUAGUAACGGCGAGUGAAGCGGGAAGAGCUCAAAUUUGAAAUCUUAAAGGGUUUCCCUUUACGAAUUGUAGUUUAAAGAAGUGUUUUCUGUUGAGGUUUUGGUAAAAGUUCUUUGGAAUAGGACAUCAUAGAGGGUGAGAAUCCCGUAUUUGACCUUUACUUUCAACUUUGUGAUACACUUUCAAAGAGUCGGAUUGUUUGGGAAUGCAGUCCAAAAUGGGUGGUAAAUUUCAUCUAAAGCUAAAUAUUGGCGAGAGACCGAUAGCGAACAAGUACCGUGAGGGAAAGAUGAAAAGAACUUGAAAAGAGAGUUAAACAGUACGUGAAAUUGUCAAAAGGGAAGCGUUUGACACCAGUGUUGUUUUUCUGAAAAUCAAUUAAAGAACUGUUUAUGCUAAGCUGUUUAGACUUUAUCAGCUAAUCUGUUUAGUUUUGAGCUUUUCUUUAAUGCACUUUUCAGUUAACAAGUCAACAUCAAUUUCUUUUGCUGUAAAAAAGCUUGAGGAAGGUGGCUUGAGAUUCGUCUUAAGUGUUUAUAGCCUCUUGCCUAUGCAGUCGGAGAGAUUGAGGUCUGCAGCGUAGAUCCUUCGGGGCUAAAUGCAUUUGUGCUAAGUUAUAACAUUUUAUAGACAACUUGUUGACUAUGAUUUGUCUUGUAGCUUACUCGCUUAUGUUAUUUUACCUACGCUUAGGAUGUUGAGUAGCGACAUACGCAC